GGAACCAUCUAAAAAUGGUUCGGGCAUUUACCGAGCAUUUCAAAGGCAAUUUCAGGUGUCAUAUAGGAUUGCUUAAAUUUUAAGUUCCAACACAAGAUUUCUACCAGCUUAUGCAAGGAUUAAUGAGUAGGAUUUAGAAUAAACCUCGUGCCUAUAGUUGUCUGAGCAAAAGGCUUGCAAACUCAUGUUUCAAAACUCGCUUCCCUGGUCGGGUUUUUGAAAAGGUCUAAGUCAGACAUUUCGUUAAACAACCUGUGUGCGAGGUUGCCUUCUUAAUUUAUGGAAGAAUUGGCAACUUCAAUGGCUUGUAAGCGUGAGAAAGUUGGUUCCAAUUAAGUCUGAAUUAAUGAAAAAGGUUACUCCCUUUUCACGUGCUGCUGCAUAUUGUCUGUUGUUCAUUGCAGGAGCUACAACUAUUGCGGGACUAUAACCGAAGUGACUAUGGCAACCUCUAGACCACACUUGCUGGUUUUAGGAUGUGAUUUUUAAUUUAAAGUCGUGAGUCCCUUGCGUUUCACCAUACGGCUGUAGGCUGCUCACCAUAGAAACCUCGACAACCUUGGCUGGAGGUUAUGAUGGCCGGUAGUUGUCUUGAUGACCUUCGCCGAAGUCUAAGCUAUCUUCGCCGGCCAUUACUGAAAGCUGGUAACACGUGCAGCUCUCUGGAAGACCUUUGCCAAAGGUUGUAGAGGGCAGCCAUGUCCUCAAGG
rnacentral:lncRNA from 1 species